GACGAACGCUGGCGGCGUGCUUAACACAUGCAAGUCGAACGGAAAGGCCCUGCUUUUGUGGGGUGCUCGAGUGGCGAACGGGUGAGUAACACGUGAGUAACCUGCCCUUGACUUUGGGAUAACUUCAGGAAACUGGGGCUAAUACCGGAUAGGAGCUCCUGCUGCAUGGUGGGGGUUGGAAAGUUUCGGCGGUUGGGGAUGGACUCGCGGCUUAUCAGCUUGUUGGUGGGGUAGUGGCUUACCAAGGCUUUGACGGGUAGCCGGCCUGAGAGGGUGACCGGCGACAUUGGGACUGAGAUACGGCCCAGACUCCUACGGGAGGCAGCAGUGGGGAAUAUUGCACAAUGGGUGGAAGCCUGAUGCAGCAACGCCGCGUGCGGGAUGACGGCCUUCGGGUUGUAAACCGCUUUCGCCUGUGACGAAGCGUGAGUGACGGUAAUGGGUAAAGAAGCACCGGCUAACUACGUG
rnacentral:rRNA from 1 species